GACGAACCGUGCGAACGUUAUUCGGAAUCACUGGGCUUAAAGCGCGUGUAGGCGGGACGGCACGUCGGUCGCUGAAAUCCCCCGGCUCAACCGGGGAACGGGCGCCGAUACGACCGUCCUGGAGGGACGUAGGGGGACCUGGAACUUCCGGUGGAGUGGUGAAAUGCGUUGAGAUCGGAAGGAACGCCCGUGGCGAAAGCGAGGUCCUGGACGUUUUCUGACGCUGAGACGCGAAAGCCAGGGGAGCGAACGGG
rnacentral:rRNA from 1 species